UAACCAACUGAAGAGAGCCAUGUUAUAAAAAGCUUCUCUUGGAACAGGAUAGCACAGAAGCAGAGACUUUAAGUCUAAACAGACCUAGAUUCAGAGCAGACCCGAUGCU
rnacentral:lncRNA from 1 species